rnacentral:siRNA from 1 species
CUUAGUCUCAAAUUCUCAUCU